GACGAACGCUGGCGGCGUGCUUAACACAUGCAAGUCGAACGAUGAAGCCUAGCUUGCUAGGUGGAUUAGUGGCGAACGGGUGAGUAAUACGUGAGUAACCUACCUUUAACUCUGGGAUAAGCCUGGGAAACUGGGUCUAAUACCGGAUACGACCAAUCUCCGCAUGGGGUGUUGGUGGAAAGCGUUAUGUAGUGGUUAUAGAUGGGCUCACGGCCUAUCAGCUUGUUGGUGAGGUAACGGCUCACCAAGGCGACGACGGGUAGCCGGCCUGAGAGGGUGACCGGCCACACUGGGACUGAGACACGGCCCAGACUCCUACGGGAGGCAGCAGUGGGGAAUAUUGCACAAUGGGCGCAAGCCUGAUGCAGCGACGCCGCGUGAGGGAUGACGGCCUUCGGGUUGUAAACCUCUGUUAGCAGGGAAGAAGAGAGAUUGACGGUACCUGCAGAGAAAGCGCCGGCUAACUACGUGCCAGCAGCCGCGGUAAUACGUAGGGCGCGAGCGUUGUCCGGAAUUAUUGGGCGUAAAGAGCUUGUAGGCGGUUUGUCGCGUCUGCUGUGAAGGCCGGAGCUUAACUCCGUGUAUUGCAGUGGGUACGGGCAGACUAGAGUGCAGUAGGGGAGACUGGAAUUCCUGGUGUAGCGGUGGAAUGCGCAGAUAUCAGGAGGAACACCGAUGGCGAAGGCAGGUCUCUGGGCUGUAACUGACGCUGAGAAGCGAAAGCAUGGGGAGCGAACAGGAUUAGAUACCCUGGUAGUCCAUGCCGUAAACGUUGGGCACUAGGUGUGGGGAACAUUCCACGUUUUCCGCGCCGUAGCUAACGCAUUAAGUGCCCCGCCUGGGGAGUACGGCCGCAAGGCUAAAACUCAAAGAAAUUGACGGGGGCCCGCACAAGCGGCGGAGCAUGCGGAUUAAUUCGAUGCAACGCGAAGAACCUUACCAAGGCUUGACAUAUACUGGAUCGCAUCAGAGAUGGUGUUUCCCUUCGGGGCUGGUAUACAGGUGGUGCAUGGUUGUCGUCAGCUCGUGUCGUGAGAUGUUGGGUUAAGUCCCGCAACGAGCGCAACCCUCGUUCUAUGUUGCCAGCACGUUAUGGUGGGGACUCAUAGGAGACUGCCGGGGUCAACUCGGAGGAAGGUGGGGAUGACGUCAAAUCAUCAUGCCCCUUAUGUCUUGGGCUUCACGCAUGCUACAAUGGCCGGUACAGAGGGUUGCGAUACUGUGAGGUGGAGCUAAUCCCUAAAAGCCGGUCUCAGUUCGGAUUGGGGUCUGCAACUCGACCCCAUGAAGUCGGAGUCGCUAGUAAUCGCAGAUCAGCAACGCUGCGGUGAAUACGUUCCCGGGCCU
rnacentral:rRNA from 1 species